rnacentral:lncRNA from 10 species
CUGCCAGUUCCUCAGGGCUGAGGCAAGAUCUUAAUUUUGAGUAGGAGCAGAGUGUAUUACCUACAACAAGGAUACCACAGAUGAGAAAACCCUAGUUUUAAACCUGCUACAUCCAAAGAGAGCAAUGCAACUCUGGCAGUAGCAAAAAUGUUGUGCCUCUCCUUUCCUCACUCCUAAUUUCCCAUCCCAGAGAAGGGUCAGAAACCAUCUUCUGCAAGAUGGGAGGAAGGGUAGCAGCCAGACUGCAAAAAGGGAGAAGAAACCAGCUACCUCUUGCUGUUCUCAGUGGCAGACUCCCCACCUGCAACAGGUCAGGUCUGUUACUGGAGAGAAAAGACAGGACAUUUUUAAAUUCUAGGUAUAGAGCAAUAAAAGAAGAAUUCAAGCAAAGGGAUCAGGAAGAGGAUUGCUACUAAGAGGCAGAGAAACCAAUGAAGCCUUUUGCCAUCUCACACUGGAAAGACAAAAAGUCAUAGAGGCUUGAUUUUUAUAAGGAAAGAGAAGUGAGAAACUGACCUCGAUACUUUGUUGGACUUGCCUAAAGACAUUUGCUGAAUUCUCGGGCUGUGCUGGGAUGGAGAUUAGAGGCCAAAUAAAAACCUCUGGAGCUCCCAGGCCUCUACAGUUUGCUGGGUCCCAUUACUUUCUGAGACAGGUGAGAUGGAAACAAGUCUCUUGGGAAGGCUCCCAAAAAGCCCAUUGUCAUAGAAAGCACCUGGCUUCUAAUGUAAGUGUGAGAAUUGGAGAGAAAUAUCUUGGUAAAAGAUAGAAAUAGGAGAGAAAAAGUAUGUCAAAUUCCAGGUCUAAAUAGGGGGAUCUCUAUUGACUUUAUUCUGUGUUUUUCUCUAACAUACCAAUAUGAUUAAAGUAAUAACUUGCUUAACAGCAACUGGGUGUAAACACUGUUAUUUUUAUUUAUUUUCCAAAUGAGAUAAAAUCUGUCUUUGAGCUCUAAUGUGUCUAGUUGAAAAGAGAUUAAAUUUAUUGUUUAUUUAGGUUACUCUUGCCCAACUUCAUCAAAGUGGGGGCUGGGGUAAUGCUAUUGCUAUCCAGAAAACUUGAUGAAAUCUUUCUU